CGUCCUCUCCUCCACCCACCAGGCCGAGCACCACCCUGUUGGAGCCGGGGAGCCCCGAGGCGGCGACCUCGUCCGUGGGCACGGUGGAGGACUGGCUGCAGGCCAUCGGCAUGGAGAAAUACCGGGACAACUUCACCGCCGCCGGAUACACCUCUCCAGAGGCCGUGGUGCACAUGACACAAGAGGACAUGGGGCGCAUCGGCAUCUCCUCGUCCGCACACCAGAACAAAAUCCUGACCAGCGUCCAGGGAAUGCUGUCCCAAAUGCAACAGAUGCAAGGCAGAAUGGUUCCCGUCUGAGCGAUUUCAACAAGAAAUAAA